rnacentral:rRNA from 1 species
CGCUGGCGGCAGGCCUAACACAUGCAAGUCGCAGGAGAAGCACCCUUCGGGGUGUGGAGACUGGCGCACGGGUGAGUAACGCGUGGGAAUCUGCCCUGGGGUGGGGAAUAACCGCUGGAAACGGCGGCUAAUACCGCAUACGCCCUUAGGGGGAAAACUCCGGUGCCCUGGGAGGAGCCCGCGUUAGAUUAGCUUGUUGGUGAGGUAAGAGCUCACCAAGGCGACGAUCUAUAGCUGGUCUGAGAGGAUGAUCAGCCACACUGGGACUGAGACACGGCCCAGACUCCUACGGGAGGCAGCAGUGGGGAAUAUUGGACAAUGGGCGCAAGCCUGAUCCAGCCAUGCCGCGUGCGUGAAGAAGGCCUUAGGGUUGUAAAGCGCUUUCACUGGUGAAGAUGAUGACGGUAGCCAGAGAAGAAGCCCCGGCUAACUCCGUGCCAGCAGCCGCGGUAAUACGGA